rnacentral:rRNA from 1 species
CUUACACAUGCAAGUCGAGUGCGCGUGCCGUAGCAAUACGGCAUGGCGCACGGCGCACGGGUGCGUAACACGUGGGCAAUCUGCCCUUCGAUGGGGAAUAACUCCGGGAAACCGAAGCUAAUUCCGCAUAACAUUCCCGGGACUCCGGUCUAGGGAUUCAAAGCCGUAAGGCGUCGAAGGAGGAGCCCGCGCCCGAUUAGCUAGUUGGUGAGGUCAUGGCUCACCAAGGCAAUGAUCGGUAGCCGGUCUGAGAGGAUGGCCAGCCACACUGGAACUGAGACACGGUCCAGACUCCUACGGGAGGCAGCAGUGGGGAAUCUUGCACAAUGGGCGAAAGCCUGAUGCAGCGACGCCGCGUGGGGGAUGAAGCAUCUCGGUGUGUAAACCCCUUUCGACUGGGACGAAUGCCUCGCAAGAGGAGUGACGGUACCAGUAGAAGAAGCCCCGGCUAACUACGUGCCAGCAGCCGCGGUAAGACGUAGGGGGCCAGCGUUGUUCGGAAUUACUGGGUGUAAAGGGUUCGUAGGCGGUGUGGCAAGUUGGGAGUGAAAUCUAUGGGCCCAACCCAUAGGCUGCUUCCAAAACUGCCGUGCUGGAGUGUGGGAGAGGCGCGUGGAAUUGCAGGUGUAGCGGUGAAAUGCGUAGAUAUCUGCAGGAACACCCGUGGCGAAAGCGGCGCGCUGGACCACUACUGACGCUGAGGAACGAAAGCUAGGGGAGCAAACAGGAUUAGAUACCCUGGUAGUCCUAGCCCUAAACGAUCAGGACUUGGGGUGCCGCCCAUUCGGGCGUCGUCCCGGAGCUAACGCGUUAAGUCCUGCACCUGGGGAGUACGGUCGCAAGACUGUAACUCAAAGAAUUGACGGGG